rnacentral:rRNA from 1 species
AUUGAACGCUGGCGGCAUGCCUUACACAUGCAAGUCGAACGGCAGCACGGGAGCAAUCCUGGUGGCGAGUGGCGAACGGGUGAGUAAUGUAUCGGAACGUACCUUUCAGUGGGGGAUAACGUAGCGAAAGUUACGCUAAUACCGCAUAUUCUGUGAGCAGGAAAGCAGGGGAUCGCAAGACCUUGCGCUGAUUGAGCGGCCGAUAUCAGAUUAGCUAGUUGGUGAGGUAAAGGCUCACCAAGGCGACGAUCUGUAGCGGGUCUGAGAGGAUAAUCCGCCACACUGGAACUGAGACACGGUCCAGACUCCUACGGGAGGCAGCAGUGGGGAAUUUUGGACAAUGGGCGCAAGCCUGAUCCAGCCAUGCCGCGUGAGUGAAGAAGGCCUCGG